rnacentral:rRNA from 1 species
AACGAACGCUGGCGGCAUGCCUAACACAUGCAAGUCGAACGAAGGCUUCGGCCUUAGUGGCGCACGGGUGCGUAACGCGUGGGAAUCUGCCCUUUGGUUCGGAAUAACAGCUGGAAACGGCUGCUAAUACCGGAUGAUGACGAAAGUCCAAAGAUCUAUCGCCAGAGGAUGAGCCCGCGUUGGAUUAGGUAGUUGGUGGGGUAAAGGCCUACCAUGCCGACGAUCCAUAGCUGGUCUGAGAGGAUGAUCAGCCACACUGGGACUGAGGCACGGACCAGAAUCCUACGGGAGGGAGCAGUGGGGAAUAUUGGACGAGGGGCGCAAGCCUAAUACAGCAAUGCCGCGUAAGUGAUGAAGGCGCUAGGGUUGUAAAGCUCUUUUACCCGGGAAGAUAAUGACUGUACCGGGAAAAUAAGCCCCGGCUAACUCCGUG